CACUAAGAAGCUAAAACGGAGAGAGCGUUAGCCUUUUAAGCUAAAGAAUGGUGGUUUCCAACCACCCCUAGUGA
rnacentral:tRNA from 1 species